CGGGUGAGUAACACGUGGGCAAUCUGCCCUGCACUCUGGGACAAGCCCUGGAAACGGGGUCUAAUACCGGAUACUGACCCCCGCAGGCAUCUGCGGGGUUCGAAAGCUCCGGCGGUGCAGGAUGAGCCCGCGGCCUAUCAGCUUGUUGGUGAGGUAAUGGCUCACCAAGGCGACGACGGGUAGCCGGCCUGAGAGGGCGACCGGCCACACUGGGACUGAGACACGGCCCAAACUCAUACGGGAGGCAGCAGUGGGGAAUAUUGCACAAUGGGCGAAAGCCUGAUGCAGCGACGCCGCGUGAGGGAUGACGGCCUUCGGGUUGUAAACCUCUUUCAGCAGGGAAGAAGCGAAAGUGACGGUACCUGCAGAAGAAGCGCCGGCUAACUACGUGCCAGCAGCCGCGGUAAUACGUAGGGCGCGAGCGUUGUCCGGAAUUAUUGGGCGUAAAGAGCUCGUAGGCGGCUUGUCACGUCGGUUGUGAAAGCCCGGGGCUUAACCCCGGGUCUGCAGUCGAUACGGGCAGGCUAGAGUUCGGUAGGGGAGAUCGGAAUUCCUGGUGUAGCGGUGAAAUGCGCAGAUAUCAGGAGGAACACCGGUGGCGAAGGCGGAUCUCUGGGCCGAUACUGACGCUGAGGAGCGAAAGCGUGGGAGCGAACAGGAUUAGAUACCCUGGUAGUCCACGCCGUAAACGGUGGGCACUAGGUGUGGGCGACAUUCCACGUCGUCCGUGCCGCAGCUAACGCAUUAAGUGCCCCGCCUGGGGAGUACGGCCGCAAGGCUAAAACUCAAAGGUAAUUGAUGGGGGCCCGCA
rnacentral:rRNA from 1 species